AAGGGGGUGAAAAGAUUCAAA
rnacentral:miRNA from 1 species